rnacentral:RNase_P_RNA from 15 species
GAAGCUGACCAGACAGUCGCCGCUUCGUCGUCGUCCUUUCGGGGAGACGGGCGGAGGGGAGGAAAGUCCGGGCUCCAUAGGGCAGGGUGCCAGGUAACGCCUGGGGGGGAAACCCACGACCAGUGCAACAGAGAGCAGACCGCCGAUGGCCCACGUAAGUGGGAUCAGGUAAGGGUGAAAGGGUGCGGUAAGAGCGCACCGCGCGGCUGGUAACAGUCCGUGGCACGGUAAACUCCACCCGGAGCAAGGCCAAAUAGGGGUUCAUAAGGUACGGCCCGUACUGAACCCGGGUAGGCUGCUUGAGCCAGUGAGCGAUUGCUGGCCUAGAUGAAUGACUGUCCACGACAGAACCCGGCUUAUCGGUCAGUUUCACCU